CGGGUGCGUAACGCGUAUGCAAUCUACCUUUCACAGAGGGAUAGCCCAGAGAAAUUUGGAUUAAUACCUCAUAGUAUAACAUGACCGCAUGGUCGAGUUAUUAAAGUCACAACGGUGAAAGAUGAGCAUGCGUCCCAUUAGCUAGUUGGUAAGGUAACGGCUUACCAAGGCAACGAUGGGUAGGGGUCCUGAGAGGGAGAUCCCCCACACUGGUACUGAGACACGGACCAGACUCCUACGGGAGGCAGCAGUGAGGAAUAUUGGACAAUGGGCGCAAGCCUGAUCCAGCCAUGCCGCGUGCAGGAUGACGGUCCUAUGGAUUGUAAACUGCUUUUGCACAGGAAGAAACAACUCUACGUGUAGAGUCUUGACGGUACUGUGAGAAUAAGGAUCGGCUAACUCCGUGCCAGCAGCCGCGGUAAUACGGAGGAUCCAAGCGUUAUCCGGAAUCAUUGGGUUUAAAGGGUCCGUAGGCGGUUUAGUAAGUCAGUGGUGAAAGCCCAUCGCUCAACGGUGGAACGGCCAUUGAUACUGCUAAACU
rnacentral:rRNA from 1 species